CGUGCAGGCGGUUCGGAAAGUUGGAUGUGAAAGCUCCUGGCUUAACUGGGAGAGGUCGUUCAAUACUUCCGGACUUGAGAGUGGGAGAGGGAGGUGGAAUUCCGGGUGUAGUGGUGAAAUGCGUAGAUAUCCGGAGGAACACCAGUGGCGAAAGCGGCCUCCUGGCCCAUUUCUGACGCUCAGACGCGAAAGCUAGGGUAGCAAACG
rnacentral:rRNA from 1 species